CUCUUGUAAAAUAACUUGUACUUUGAAACAGUGAACUAAUACUGCAUAUAUUUUAAUUUAUUCAUAGAUUUGUUUAUUUUAAAGUGGUUUUGUGUUGCAACGUGUGAUGAUCUAAUCAACAAUUAGAUCAUUUGUGACAGUCAGUUAAAAUUUGUGACUAUCGGAAGACAAAGCGUCGUACUCCAUGCUCUUGCCAGGUCGCCCGCUAUCGCCGCGAGGAAGAAUUUCAAUUAGGCCACGGGAAUAGGGAUAGCCCAGGAUUCAGAGGACAAAAAAAGUGAGCCCGUAGAACGAAUUUUACAUUAUAAUCUCUUCCGAAAAAUCGGACUCGUGGGAAUGACGAAGCCUAUUGAUCACCGGAGGUGAUUUUAUCCAUCUAAAUCAUCCAGUAACGUUUGACGAUCCUCUACUUCCGGUCACCGCCUCGAUAUCCUCCCAGGCUUUACAACAACC